AUGCUUAUUUGGAACUUAAAAAAACCUCUUAAUUCUUCCAGCAUCCAUAACUUCAGUCUUCUGCCAGCAUUUUGUGACCUAAACGUACAAGGCCCCUCACUAGAAGUCCACUUUAGCUCUGACGUGCAUUGGAGGUGAGAGAAGAGGAACAAUUCUGGGACUUGGGCAAAGUUGUUCCUUCCUGUAAAGCUCUGGCUUUAACCUCUGAGCCCUGAAGCAUCUCUCUGAACAAGGAUUACAGCCUGGGUAAGUGACUGUGAGUAAUCUUGUUUGG
rnacentral:lncRNA from 1 species